AUUGAACGCUGGCGGCAUGCUUUACACAUGCAAGUCGAACGGAGUUGGAGCUUGCUCCAAUUUAGUGGCGAACGGGUGAGUAAUAUAUCGGAACGUACCCGGCAAUGGGGGAUAACGUAGCGAAAGUUACGCUAAUACCGCAUAUGCCCUGAGGGGGAAAGCAGGGGACCAGUAAGGGUCUUGCGUUGACGGAGCGGCCGAUAUCAGAUUAGCUAGUUGGUGAGGUAAAGGCUCACCAAGGCGACGAUCUGUAGCGGGUCUGAGAGGAUGAUCCGCCACACUGGGACUGAGACACGGCCCAGACUCCUACGGGAGGCAGCAGUGGGGAAUUUUGGACAAUGGGCGCAAGCCUGAUCCAGCCAUGCCGCGUGAGUGAAGAAGGCCUUCGGGUUGUAAAGCUCUUUCAGCCGGAAAGAAAACGCACCACCUAAUACGUGGUGUGGAUGACGGUACCGGAAGAAGAAGCACCGGCUAACUACGUGCCAGCCGCCGCGGUAA
rnacentral:rRNA from 1 species